GCCAGCCCUGCGCCCCGGGGCCGCGGCUGUGCCUGACCGCAGCGGGGCCGGAGAGGUGGCGGUCGGGCCCGGGCCAUGGAGCCGGGGCGCGGCCCCCGCGGCGUUGCUGCAGAAAUCAAAGGCGGAAGAGAAAAUCAGAUUUCGUAUUUGAAAAUAUCAAAACUAGCAUUGGCUUUUGCAAUUAUCCACUCAAAACCACCAGGGAAGAGUUCCAAAGAAUACACAGAGUACCUUGCCAGAACUGUAUCCGAACAAGAUUUUGGAUGGAAAUGGAAAGUGGAAGUCCUGGAAGCUGAAGUUCUUCGAUUACAACAGGAACUUCUUUUGAACAGGAUCUCUCCAAGAUUCUGCUUGGAAAAUAGAAAACAGGAUACCUCUGCUGAAACUCUUCUGGGUCAGGAAUCUAUAAAUCCUACAAGUUACUCGAGCCAGCUAGAAGACUCUGGAUGUGAUGUCUAUAAUGACUCUGCAUUUGAUUCUUUAGGCAUAGCUUCAGAUUUUCACCAAUCUGAGCAUAAUUUCAACACUUCUAAACAUUGGUUGGAAAGAGUUCCUCCCCUGAAUCUUUGCCAUACUAGCAAGGAGCAAUCUCUGACUGCUCCAGUGCAUUUUUUGCAACGUUUGCUUGAAAUAAGAAAACUGUCAGAAAGAGGAGUUCUUCAAGCAGACUUCUCAGAGCUUGAGAAUGAUUCUUUCACCAUAUGCAAUUCAGUGUCUCAGUUGCUUGAUGGACUGACUUUUUUUUACAACAGCCCUAAAUUCCCAGCUCCAGGUUUCCUUACUGAAGGGGUUUGUGUUUUGCUCAGUUUAAUAACUGAUACGAAAUUAUCAAAUCAUGUUUUGAAGAAGUGUUUCAAGAAGAUAGAAGAAUUUAAGAAAAAUCUAAUUCAAGUUAUUUUAGGAAAUAGGAGUGUCAAUAGGUUUCAGGCACUGCAUUCUGUAUCACAAACGCUGGGUUUGCUAGGAGGGAACAACAUACUAAGAAAUUCUUUAAUACCCCUUCUCCUAUCGGGAGUCCGUCAGUUUGCUGAGCAGUUGUUGCAGGCUCACCAGACUGUUAGCUCCAGAGUAGCCAGGAGGAGGUAACACCAGAAGUUUGGGGCUGAAGAGGGCAAGGCACUUUUAAGCUUGAAAACUCUUCCUUGAAAAUAAGAAGUAAUUCUAGAUAAUAGACCAUUUUUUCCUGUGAAGAGGAAGACAUAAGUGUCCACAGUUUUCACGGAAGCCAGCAUAGGCUUUGCUUUGAAUUUAUGCAUUUCUGUGUAAUAGCAGGCAUUGUAAACUCAUGUCCUAGACAGCCAUGAAUUCAUUAGCAGCUAGAUUGAAAAGAUUCUUUCUUAAAACUAGAAAAGCAUUACCUCAUUCUAAAAGCAUUUAUGAAGUUAAAGUAAUAUUUGUGGUAUGUGUGGGAUUAUAGCAAUGAUUGUCAUAAAAAGAAGAAAGUUUUAAUUCUGUCUUCAGAAGAGACUGAAUACCACACAUUUCAUGCCCAUGCAUAUAACAAGAACAGAAAAAAUACUGAAAGACAUUUCUUCUAAUUGAGCAUCGUCCAUUCUCUAUAGUAAUAGAAGCAAGAACACUUUUCAAAAAGAAAAGCAAACCAAAAAAACCAAAUCACAGCCAAACACCUGUAGGCAUAAAAGAAACAAAUUAGGAUUGUAGUGCCAUUAUAUGGAUUUAAAACUGCUAUUCCUAGUAAAAGCAGGGAAGUACUUUAAGAAACUAUAAAAAAUAAACAAGAUCAUUAUUUGCAAUAUUAAAGAACAUUGUCUGAAUCACAAACCUUAUUUUCUUCUACGUUUCAUGAUUCUGCUAGUGAAUGCUUUGGCCAACUUUUGGAAUGUGUCAUGCUACUUUAUUCUGCAUGGUGGUUGCUCAAGAACUCUGUUUAGCUUGGAAGAAGAAUCUACUUAAAUUUGAGUGUCUGAAUUCAAUUAAUUAGAAGUUGGUACCUAUGUUUUUGUAAUUUGAAGUCAAUUCCAGUCUGUGGGUUAUCCAAGAUACAGUCUUCCAUGGUCAUGGGUUAUUAAAAAUUAAUUAUCAUGCAAAAGACAGCUCUUUCUAAAUCCGUCUGUUUCUCUAGAGUGUAGAUACCACUGUAGAAAAAGUAGAGGAAGUUAACUUCCAGGGAAAGCAUAAAGCUGCUGAGAUUCUCCUUGUACAUGAUUUAAGAUUAACAAAAAGAAAGACAGUUUCUGCUCCCCUAAUGACUUCAGAGAGUCACGUGGGAAUUAAAAUGCCUACAGAAUUAUCUUUUGUAUGGGAUAAUUUUUUUUAUUUGCUAUACAGCAUAACUAAUCACCUUUAAAGUGUAACUUGUGAAAUAAUGGAAAAAUUAUUAAUAUAUUUCUCAAAAUUCGUCUGUU